rnacentral:rRNA from 1 species
CGAACGGGUGAGGAACACGUGAGGAACCUGCCCCGAAGACCGGGACAACAUCGGGAAACCGGUGCUAAUACCGGAUGUCCUCGCCGAAGCUCAUGCUUUGGUGAGGAAAUGGAUUCCGCUUCGGGAUGGCCUCGCGGCCUAUCAGCUUGUUGGUGAGGUAACGGCUCACCAAGGCUUCGACGGGUAGCUGGUCUGAGAGGAUGUCCAGCCACACUGGGACUGAGACACGGCCCAGACUCC